AAUAACGCAGGGAAACUUGUGCUAAUACCGUAUGUGCCCUUUGGGGGGAAGAUUUAUCGGUAAAGGAUCGGCCCGCGUUGGAUUAGCUAGUUGGUGGGGUAAAGGCCUACCAAGGCGACGAUCCAUAGCUGGUCUGAGAGGAUGAUCAGCCACAUUGGGACUGAGACACGGCCCAGACUCCUACGGGAGGCAGCAGUGGGACUCCUACGGGAGGCAGCAGUGGGCGGGAGGCAGCAGUGGGACAGUUGGCUCAGAACGAACGCUGGCGGCGUGCCUAAUACAUGCAAGUCGAGCGAACCUUUAAAAGCUUGCUGUUAAAGGUUAGCGGCGGACGGGUGAGUAACACGUGGGCAACCUACCUGUAAGACUGGGAUAACUUCGGGAAACCGGAGCUAAUACCGGAUAAUUCUUUUCUACACAUGUAGAAAAGCUGAAAGACGGUUUCGGCUGUCACUUACAGAUGGGCCCGCGGCGCAUUAGCUAGUUGGUGAGGUAAUGGCUCACCAAGGCAACGAUGCGUAGCCGACCUGAGAGGGUGAUCGGCCACAUUGGAACUGAGACACGGUCCAGA
rnacentral:sRNA from 1 species